AGUUUCCUUUUUUAUUCUCCUAUUUAAUUGAAAUUGAAGCUUCUUCUAAUCAAGAACCCUAUAUCCCUCUGUAUUCUGCUUCUCACGUACGUUUCUUCUUCGCACAAUAUCUCUCUCCUCAACCUUUUCCCUAUCUUAUUUUGCAAAUCACAAAACUAGGUGUCUAAAGCAAGGAUUGAAAGUAUCGAUUGAAGGCAACACAACCUUCAAACUUCAAAGAUCCAGAAAGAAUUUGAGGGCUACGGUAUGAAUCAGAUUCUGAUCGUGUGAAAGGUGCCAAUGUACAUACUAAAAAAUACUCUAUGAAAAGGCAAGGGCUUGAACUUCUUGAAACAUGACCAGAGACGUUUGAUGGAGAUCACAAGAAACAAGCAUGGCUUCAAUGCAAGUAUGCAUCCUUGGUGGUUCACGGUCUUAAGAGGCUUUGCUUGCAAACUAUAUGAUUGUCCCUUCUUCCUUUGAGACUUUGGGCAUAUCAUCCACCUGAACUUGAGGGAUGAACAUCUUCCAUAUAAGAAUUUUAUAGCCAAGAUUGUUUUGGACAAUAACAUGCCAAAGAUACAAAGAGUUAUCAGUAAGAUUGAUGCCAUCAAUAAUGAUAGGACAUGAUAGGACAUGCUAUCAUGUUGCAUCUACAAACACAAAGGAUUUUUAUAAUUUGGUAGAUGUAUAUCUGGAUGCUGUUUUCUUUCCCAAAUGUGUGGAGGACAUUCAGACUUUUCAACAAGAGGGUUGGCAUUAUGAGUUGAACAACCCUGAGGAAGAAAUAACUUAUAAAGUCUAGAAAUCACAAGGCAUGUUUCAGUGAUUAUAAUAACUCUCUCUACAAAGGAACUGAAUACAUCAUCUAUUGGAUAUCAGCCCACAUUAUCAGCUAAUCAGAUGAAAGUGGCAACUGAGUUUGAGUAUCAUGGAGGUAUGUCUUUCUAGGCAUUUGUUUAUCAAGCAUUAAUGAUGAAGAGUGCACGUGUAGCUAAGGAAGUCGAUCACAAGGUAUUGCUUCUUUGUUCUGUGUGUAGUGAUUUGUGUACACUUCGGAUUUGGUUUGGGUAAAAAGGAAACUGGGUUGAUUUGGGUAAAGAUGAAAUUUCAUUUGGGUGUUUUUGGGUCCGCUAAAUUAAACAAUGGCUCAAUUUGGGUCUUCUAAAACGGAUCAAUACGGGCUAUUCUUAUAAAACCCGCUAACUUAAAACGGGUUCAAACGGGUUUGCACUACCC